GGGAGUGGAUGGGGCCUGGUGGCUCUCCUGGUCUUCAAAACCUGUGUGACGUGUUAAUAGCGCGUCGGGUGAGUUCGAUUCUCACACACUCCCGCCA
rnacentral:tRNA from 1 species